rnacentral:lncRNA from 1 species
CUUUGGAGUGGCCGCUCCUGGCCUGCCAGGAGCUGAUUCAACGGCCGGGACCGGGCACUACAGGUGCACUCGGCACGGACAAUAGACGCUUGUUGUACAUAACCCAUGCUUGGCUGAGACUGACCACUGGGGUCAGGUGGAAACAAUGCCCCGAGGAGUGUGGGGCUGGAAAGAAAUCUGUUUUUAUAAACAGCCUAUCCUCCAGAUUUUAAAAAGCAAAAGAAGAAAACAGUCAAUCGAGGUCUUGUCCUGGGCUGGCCACUGAGGACCUACGGAAGAUUUUAUUCACCUAAUGAUCCUUCAGGUCAUCCUGUCAGAGCCCCUUCCUCCAGGUGUCCUGUCCUCUGGGUGCCCCAGUCUGAGAGAGGAGGUGGGUAAA